UACCAGCACCCCGAGUGGUCGGGACGUUUAUUGGGCCUAAAGCCUCCGUAGCCGGUUCUACAAGUCUUCCGUUAAAUCCAACUGCUUAACAGGUGGGCUGCGGAAGAUACUAUAGAGCUAGGAGGCGGGAGAGGCAAGCGGUACUCGAUGGGUAGGGGUAAAAUCCGUUGAUCCAUUGAAGACCACCAGUGGCGAAGGCGGCUCGCCAGAACGCGCUCGACGGUGAGGGAUGAAAGCUGGGGGAGCAAACCGG
rnacentral:rRNA from 1 species